GCGGCCGCCAACGCGUCGGCGAGCGCGCGCAUGGCGCUGACCUGCAUCUGCAGCGCGGCCACGUAGUCGGCGGCCUCCUCCAGCAGCGCGGGCGUGGGUAGCUUCCGGCAGCCCGGGACGAGGCGGCCCAGCACGCGGAGCCGCUCCUGCACCUUACCCUCCUUACCCUUUAGCGCCGCCGCCGCCGCCGCCUUGUCUCUGGCCUGCACCGGCGGAGGCGGGCGGCGCCGCCGCCGGACCUUGCCGCCCGCCUUGACGAGGACGCGGCGGCGGCUGCAGACCGCGCCGGCGAGCAGGAUGGCGCGGCUCCACCGCGUCUGGCCGCGCGCGGUCAGCGCCAGCGCCGAGUCGGCCGCCGCCUUCACGGCGCGCGGCUGGCCACCGCCCGUGGCGCGGAGCGCGUCCAGCAGGCGCCGCCCGUACACCCCGCGCACCGCGCCGCUGCGCCACUUGCUGGCCCGACUCGGCGGCGUCGCGGAGCCACCCUUGGACGUCCGGGACGACGACGGCGACGGAGAGGGCGAGGAGAUCAUCGCCGCGCGACUUGCCAGCCUGGCCGCCCCCCCGCCGCCCGAUCAAGACGGGGCAAGGGAUUUGGGGAGGGAGGGAAAGGGGCGGGCAGGGGGGGAGAGGACGGGUGGAACGCUGGUGGAGUGGUGGUGCUGGUGGUGGUGGAAGGAAGGAAGGAAGGAAGCGGAGG
rnacentral:misc_RNA from 1 species